rnacentral:rRNA from 1 species
UACGUAGGCAGCGAGCGUUGUUCGGAGUUACUGGGCGUAAAGAGUGCGUAGGCGGUUUUCUAAGUUUGGUGUGAAAUCUCCCGGCUUAACUGGGAGGGUGCGCCGAAAGCUGGAAGGCUUGAGUAUGGGAGAGGUAAGCGGAAUUCCUGGUGUAGCGGUGAAAUGCGUAGAUAUCAGGAGGAACACCUGCGGUGUAGACGGCUUACUGGACCAUAACUGACGCUGAGGCACGAAAGCGUGGGUAGCAAACAGG